AGCACGGGGGCAACCCUGGUGGCGAGCGGCGAACGGGUGAGUAACACAUCGGAACAUGCCCAGUCGUGGGGGAUAACACUUCGAAAGAAGUGCUAAUACCGCAUACGUCCUGAGGGAGAAAGCGGGGGAUCGCAAGACCUCGCGCGAUUGGAGUGGCCGAUGUCAGAUUAGCUAGUUGGUGGGGUAAAGGCCUACCAAGGCAACGAUCUGUAGCUGGUCUGAGAGGAUGAUCAGCCACACUGGGACUGAGACGCGGCCCAGACUCCUACGGGAGGCAGCAGUGGGGAAUUUUGGACAAUGGGGGCAACCCUGAUCCAGCCAUUCCGCGUGAGUGAAGAAGGCCUUCGGGUUGUAAAGCUCUUUCGGCAGGAACGAAACG
rnacentral:rRNA from 1 species